rnacentral:rRNA from 1 species
GACGAACGCUGGCGGCGUGCUUAACACAUGCAAGUCGAACGGAUCCGGUGGCUUCGGUGGCCGGGUGAGUGGCGAACGGGUGAGUAACACGUGGGUAACCUGCCCUUGGCUCUGGGAUAACUCCGGGAAACCGGGGCUAAUACCGGCUACGACCUGGUGCCGCCUGGUGCGGGGUGGAAAGUUGUUCGGCCAGGGGUGGGCCCGCGGCCUAUCAGCUUGUGGGUGGGGUGAUGGCCUACCCCGGCGUCGACGGGUAGCCGGCCCGGGAGGGCGACCGGCCACACUGGGACUGAGACACGGCCCAGACUCCUGCGGGAGGCAGCAGUGGGGAAUAUUGCGCAAUGGGCGCAAGCCUGACGCAGCGACGCCGCGUGGGGGAUGACGGCCUUCGGGUUGUAAACCCCUUUCAGCAUCGACCAAGGCUCUGUUUUUGCAGGGUUGAGUGUAGGUGCAGAAGAAGCACCGGCUAACUACGUGCCA